rnacentral:rRNA from 1 species
CCUACGGGAGGCAGCAGUCGAGGAUCUUCGGCAAUGGGCGCAAGCCUGACCGAGCGACGCCGCGUGUGCGAUGAAGGCCUUCGGGUUGUAAAGCACUGUCGAGGGGGAGGAAAGCCCGCAAGGGCCUGACCUAUCCCUGAGGAAGCACGGGCUAAGUUCGUGCCAGCAGCCGCGGUAAGACGAACCGUGCGAACGUUGUUCGGAAUCACUGGGCUUAAAGGGCGCGUAGGCGGGCCCUCCAGUCAGGGGUGAAAGCCCACGGCUUAACCGUGGAAGUGCCCCUGAUACUGAGGGUCUCGAGGGGUGUAGGGGCAUGCGGAACUUCCGGUGGAGCGGUGAAAUGCGUAGAUAUCGGAAGGAACGCCGGUGGCGAAAGCGGCGUGCUGGACACCUUCUGACGCUGAGGCGCGAAAGCCAGGGGAGCAAACGGGAUUAGAUACCCCGGUAGUCCUGGCCCUAAACGAUGGGUACUAGAUUGUGGACCGGACAUGGGUUCACAGUCGAAGCAAAAGUGAUAAGUACCCCGCCUGGGGAGUAUGGUCGCAAGGCUGAAACUCAAAGGAAUUGACGGGGGCUCACACAAGCGGUGGAGCAUGUGGCUUAAUUCGAGGCUACGCGAAGAACCUUAUCCUGUGCUUGACAUGUGGCGGUGGGAAGUAGGACGCGGAAACGCGAACGAACGGUAUCCAGUCCGGAACCUACCACAGGUGCUGCAUGGCUGUCGUCAGCUCGUGUCGUGAGAUGUCGGGUUAAGUCUCAUAACGAGCGAAACCUCUGUUUCCAGUUUGCUAACGCUUCGGGCGAGGACUCUGGAAAGACUGCCGGUGUUAACCGGAGGAAGGUGGGGAUGA